ensembl:lncRNA
CUAAGUUCAAAGAAAAACAAACUGUAGACAUACGAAAUUACCGCGUUGUCGACUGUGAUAUAGUGAAGUGUUUUUAUUACAUCUGCACCACCCUUGAAUGUAGGCCUAUAUAAAUAAAUAAAAACGAGUUGAUGAGCGUUCGAGAAUGACAAUACUUAUGAGUGCUAUUUCUUGUAAUAUCUAGCUAUUAAUGAGUAAACCAUAAUAGCCAUACACGAUUUUAUUGUAAUUUUACCUUUUGAAUCGAGUGCAUAUAACAUAAAAAAAUACAUAUUCCAUAUAAAAGCCUUAACCUCGUUAAAUACCCCACUUGUUAUACUAUAUGUGUCCUGUGUUUUUUUUUUUUUUUUCCUCGCUGAAGCACAGCUGGAAGUGGCCAUUGCACAGUCACCUCUAAAUAGCAUAUCGGUUUCCAAGGAUACCCGGGAGUAGCAUUUAAAUGACGUCAGUAUUCAUUGAUAGAGUAUUAUCGGCAGUAAUGAGUUCCUCUUCACCAAUAGGAUUCGAUAAGCAGUCUGUUUAGCGAUAGUGGAGUGGUGAAUGAAAGAAAGCUUGGAAAGAGAAAUGCAGCAGGGACUAGUCACACUCUACAAGCGCUGCAUGGCAUAAAGACUUGGUCUUUUUGUGCACGCUACCCAGAAUUCCUUGUGACAUUUGUUGUGUGAAGAUUACUCACUGGCCCGUAGCCUAGUGUAGCACAACAGCGAUGGUUUUAAAGACACAGAGUUGGCGCUGUCCCAGCCUCGACACCUCACCCACAAACUGCGCCUCCUGUCAACCCCCACAGGCACCUAUUGUGGCGAAUCAGUGACCGUACCAUUCCUUCUUUCUGCUCUUCACCAACAAAUGAUAAACUAAGUGGAAAAAAAAACAGAAUGGCAUGAAGAAGAAAAGAA